UACGACGGGGGCUAGCGUUGUUCGGAUUUACUGGGCGUAAAGCGCACGUAGGCGGAUUGUUAAGUCGGGGGUGAAAUCCUGGAGCUCAACUUCAGAAUUGCCUUCGAUACUGGCUUUCUAGAGGCUGGAAGAGGUUAGUGGAAUUCCCAGUGUAGAGGUGAAAUUCGUAGAUAUUGGGAAGAACACCAGUGGCGAAGGCGGCUAACUGGUCCAGAUCUGACGCUGAGGUGCGAAAGCGUGGGGAGCAAACAGG
rnacentral:rRNA from 1 species